rnacentral:rRNA from 1 species
GUUAACGACCAUACAAUGCUGAACACAUCGGUUCGCGUUCGAUCACCGAAUUUAAGCAACAUUGGGCAUGACUAUUACUUAGCUGGGUAUCUCCAAAUCCUCCUGAAGGCGUAGUAC